rnacentral:rRNA from 1 species
UACGAAGGGUGCAAGCGUUAAUCGGAAUUACUGGGCGUAAAGCGCGCGUAGGUGGUUCAGUAAGUUGGAAGUGAAUUCCCCGGGCUCAACCUGGGAACUGCUUUCAAAACUGCUGAGCUAGAGUACGGUAGAGGGUGGUGGAAUUUCCUGUGUAGCGGUGAAAUGCGUAGAUAUAGGAAGGAACACCAGUGGCGAAGGCGACCACCUGGACUGAUACUGACACUGAGGUGCGAAAGCGUGGGGAGCAAACAGG